GACGAACGCUUGCGGCGUGCUUAACACAUGCAAGUCGAACGGAAAGGCCCUGCUUUUGUGGGGUGCUCGAGUGGCGAACGGGUGAGUAACACGUGAGUAACCUGCCCUUGACUUUGGGAUAACUUCAGGAAACUGGGGCUAAUACCGGAUAGGAGCUCCUGCUGCAUGGUGGGGGUUGGAAAGUUUCGGCGGUUGGGGAUGGACUCGCGGCUUAUCAGCUUGUUGGUGGGGUAGUGGCUUACCAAGGCUUUGACGGGUAGCCGGCCUGAGAGGGUGACCGGCCACAUUGGGACUGAGAUACGGCCCAGACUCCUACGGGAGGCAGCAGUGGGGAAUAUUGCACAAUGGGCGGAAGCCUGAUGCAGCAACGCCGCGUGCGGGAUGACGGCCUUCGGGUUGUAAACCGCUUUCGCCUGUGACGAAGCGUGAGUGACGGUAAUGGGUAAAGAAGCACCGGCUAACUACGUGCCAGCAGCCGCGGUGAUACGUAGGGUGCGAGCGUUGUCCGGAUUUAUUGGGCGUAAAGGGCUCGUAGGUGGUUGAUCGCGUCGGAAGUGUAAUCUUGGGGCUUAACCCUGAGCGUGCUUUCGAUACGGGUUGACUUGAGGAAGGUAGGGGAGAAUGGAAUUCCUGGUGGAGCGGUGGAAUGCGCAGAUAUCAGGAGGAACACCAGUGGCGAAGGCGGUUCUCUGGGCCUUUCCUGACGCUGAGGAGCGAAAGCGUGGGGAGCGAACAGGCUUAGAUACCCUGGUAGUCCACGCUGUAAACGGUGGGUACUAGGUGUGGGGUCCAUUCCACGGGUUCCGUGCCGUAGCUAACGCUUUAAGUACCCCGCCUGGGGAGUACGGCCGCAAGGCUAAAACUCAAAGGAAUUGACGGGGCCCCGCACAAGCGGCGGAGCAUGCGGAUUAAUUCGAUGCAACGCGUAGAACCUUACCUGGGUUUGACAUGGGUCGGGAGUGCUCAGAGAUGGGUGUGCCUCUUUUGGGGUCGGUUCACAGGUGGUGCAUGCCUGUCGUCAGCUCGUGUCGUGAGAUGUUGGGUUAAGUCCCGCAACGAGCGCAACCCUUGUUCACUGUUGCCAGCACGUUAUGGUGGGGACUCAGUGGAGACCGCCGGGGUCAACUCGGAGGAAGGUGGGGAUGACGUCAAGUCCUCAUGCCCCUUAUGUCCAGGGCUUCACGCAUGCUACAAUGGCUGGUACAGAGAGUGGCGAGCCUGUGAGGGUGAGCGAAUCUCGGAAAGCCGGUCUCAGUUCGGAUUGGGGUCUGCAACUCGACCUCAUGAAGUCGGAGUCGCUAGUAAUCGCAGAUCAGCAACGCUGCGGUGAAUACGUUCCCGGG
rnacentral:rRNA from 1 species